AGUGGACGCUGGCGGUAGGCCUAACACAUGCAAGUCGAACGGCAGCACAGUAAGAGCUUGCUCUUACGGGUGGCGAGUGGCGUACGGGUGAGGAAUACAUCGGAAUCUACUUUUUCGUGGGGGAUAACGUAGGGAAACUUACGCUAAUACCGCAUACGACCUACGGGUGAAAGCAGGGGAUCUUCGGACCUUGCGCGAUUGAAUGAGCCGAUGUCGGAUUAGCUAGUUGGCGGGGUAAAGGCCCACCAAGGCGACGAUCCGUAGCUGGUCUGAGAGGAUGAUCAGCCACACGGGAACUGAGACACGGUCCAGACUCCUACGGGAGGCAGCAGUGGGGAAUAUGGGACAAUGGGCGCAAGCCUGAUCCAGCCAUACCGCGUGGGUGAAGAAGGCCUUCGGGUUGUAAAGCCCUUUUGUUGGGAAAGAAAAGCAGCAGGUUAAUACCCCGCUGUUCUGACGGUACCCAAAGAAUAAGCACCGGCUAACUGCGU
rnacentral:rRNA from 1 species